AUGCAGGGUUCUCACGAAAGAUUGAAGGGAAAGAGGAUGUUAACAAGAUUUUGGGAGGAUACGUGGCUAGGAGAGACGCCUCUGGCCUUACAAUAUCCUACCCUCUAUAAUAUUGUGCAACGAAAGGAGGAGUACGUAGGUAUAAUCCUUCAAACUAUCCCCUUGAACAUCCAGCUCAGACGUACGUUAGUGGGUGAGAGGUGGACAGCCUGGAUGCACUUGGUUCGGAGGUUGAUUGAAGUUCGACUCUCCGACAUGCCGGACUCAACAAAAUGGAAGUUAACUAAAAAUCGGAUAUUUACUGUGAAAUCUUUUUAUACGGAUUUGAUUAAUUCUGGCCCCCUCUCAAGGUCUUUGCAUAUUUGGAAGGUUAGAGUUCCUUUGCGGAUCAAAAUCUUUAUGUGGUUUGUUCACAAGCAAGUUAUUCUCACAAAGGACAACCUUCUUAAAAGGCGAUGGAUAGGAAACUCGUGGUGUUGUUUUUGUGCUCAGGAUGAGACAAUACAACAUUUAUUUAUUGAUUGCCCACUUGCCAAGUUACUUUGGAGAACGAUUCAUAUAGCCUUUAAUAUCAAUGCUCCGGUAGAUAUUUCGUCUAUGUUUGGGACGUGGUUAGCUGGGAUUGAACAGAACAUGGCAGCUCGUAUUCGGAUUGGAGUAUGCACGCUAUUAUGGGCCAUAUGGAACUGCAGAAAUGGUAUGAUUUUUAACAGACGACACAACUUAACUUUUUUGCAGGUUAUCUUCGGAGCUACAGCUUGGAUCUGUACGUGGUCCUUACUCACUCCUAUGGGAGAUGGUGGCUCGGGGUAUAUUCAACCGGUUCGGAUG
rnacentral:rRNA from 1 species